CAUCAUUGCAGACUUGACACCGGCCAAAUGGGACGUCCAACAUCUAUGGUGUGCAGUGACAAUGUGCUUUAAAAAAAAAAAUAAAAUCCAUCACAUGAAGAUGUGCACAUGAUGACUCUCACUGCCGAGGAAGGACGACACACUUUUCCGCAAGCAGACGACCGGAGAUGCACGGGGCGAGACACAAACGCCCAUAAGUUGCUAAAAUGAAUCUUCAGGUCAUGUCCGGGGCUGCCAUAAGAGGAAGACUCAAGAACAAGUGCCUCCAACACAGAGGGGGAAAAGACAAAAGUUAUGAAAGAGAGGUCCAGAUAUGAUGAAGGCACACAUACGACGGCACCUUGGGUCUGUCUGUGGUCUAACACCAGUAUACCAUGCUCGCCAUCCCCGCAUUUGUCGCCGCAUGCCACACACAGUCUUGCCUUUUACGGGCUGCAGAUAAAGACAGGCAACAUUCCAUCUGUGACGAGACAGAGGAAGUCAAGACGUAAACACACAAACACACACACACUAGAGGCGUGUGAGCAGGUGGGCAUUAAGUCAGGCAACUAAACAGAUCACGUUGCGGUUUGAUAUCAGCAGACAGACAGAGGAGGCCGGUUUGUACCUGCGGGCAGCCAGCAGCACCCUCACCAGGAAUGUCCUCCCGCUUGUGAGACACAUAAAUGUAACUCUAGGCUUUCCUCUCAAACACCAACGUGACUGGCUGAAACGUCUUCAAAUUGCACUACUAAUAAUCACAAAUUUGAUCAGCAAAACUACAAUGGUAGUCAUAGGAAAGCAGACCAUCACCAAAUCCUAACAAUCCUAAUUUGCAUCAGCAACAUCAUCAAAUACCCACUUCGUGUAUGCCUGAAUUUUGUGAUUACGAUUCAUACAUAAUUCAAUGAGAACUUAAGGCAAGAGUUCCACAACUUUGCAAUGCUGCACAGAAGUGGAAGAAAAACUCUCCCUAAAUGUGUCAUCGUUUGAUUUUUGCGUGAUCUUGCUAUCAAUUGACCAUAAAAAGAUUUAAAAAAUAAAUAAAUAAAUAAAAAGUAUCACCAAAUCCUUAGUGUUAUGUAUUGCGAACCCUUCUGAAGCAAAUGUUUGCCGUAAUACUACAAUUGUACUUUAAACUGUGAUUUUGUUUUUUACACUGGCUGCCAUGGCAACCCCAUAUUAGCUUCUUUAGUGGUGGUCCUUACCAAGGUAAAGUAAAGAAUAUCGCUCAGAUAAUGAACCUGCUCUACCCUCCUGUACUUUGCUUUCAAGUUCAACCUGAGCCAAGAAAGAAAAGGUUAUCUAUUGUCAUGAUAUUUCAGCACACAUUCACA